rnacentral:rRNA from 1 species
AGCGAACGCUGGCGGCAGGCCUAACACAUGCAAGUCGAACGGAUCCUUCGGGAUUAGUGGCGGACGGGUGAGUAACACGUGGGAACGUGCCCUUUGGUUCGGUACAACUCAGGGAAACUUAAGCUAAUACAGGCCGUUCCCUUCCGGGGAAAGAUUUAUUGCUAGUGGAGCGGCCCGCGUCCGAUUCGUUAGUUGGUGAGGUAACGGCCCGCCAAGGCGACGAUCAGUAGCUGGUCUGAGAGGAUGAUCAGCUACGCUGGGACUGAGACACGGCCCAGAAUCCUACGGGAGGGAGCAGUGGGGAAUCGUGCGAAAUGGGCGAAAGCCUGACGCAGCCAUGCCGGGUGAAUGAUGAAGGUCUUAGGAUUGUAAAAUUCUUUCAGCGGGGACGAUAAUGACGGUACCCGCAGAAGAAGCUCCGGCUAACUUCGUG